GCUGCUACAGGACAUAUAUGCACAUCGGAAUCUCACUGACAAAAUACAGGAGUAGUACAGUCUACACCGACCACCAAGUCAAUCAACCUCUAGUCUACUAGUAUAUGGUAUAAUACACAUGGAUCUGACAGAAACACGAUCACUAAUUGGCUACUGCUACUACUAAAAUAUGUAUAUAUGCAUGUGACACCCUGGCUUGAUGCAGAACGAACCGAGCGAGGAAUAUGUUUACACGGUUGAUGGACACCAACUAGUCGGAUACUCAUCAGAUGUUCCUGUCCGGUUGACUGCUUGAGGCGCAGAUCUUCCUGUCCGGUUGACUGCUUGAGGCGCAGAUCAUGUCCUCCGACGCCUGCCAGAGCCGCGCGGCCUCGCGGCGGCUUGCGGCGGCCGG
rnacentral:lncRNA from 1 species